rnacentral:tRNA from 1 species
CUUGUUGAGCCUCUACCUUUCGGUUCUCUUGGAACAAGACGGAAGAGAGUCACUCUUACCGUCGCGCAUACCUAAAGCGGGUCUGCCGCCUUCGUUUCUCUUUCUUCAGCGAAUGACUUUGGAUUGCGCUCGCGCGCCGUACCGCAGCCUUUGGCUGCUGGCGCUCCGCGAGGGCGCGGCACGAGCCGCGACGGCCGGUCGGCCUUGCGAGGCUCUGCCUCGAUGCCGGCUACCAUCUGCGCUUGGGGCUUAGGGCUUGUAGCUCAGUUGGUUAGAGCGCGCGCUUGAUAAGCGUGAGGUCGGAGGUUCAAGUCCUCCCAGGCCCACCAGUUCAGUGCAGCCCGAAGGGCUGUCACGACGCAAUCCGCAAGGAUUGUCGAACUCCUCUACAAGGUAUCAGGGGCCGUAGCUCAGCUGGGAGAGCGCCUGCUUUGCAAGCAGGAUGUCGUCGGUUCGAUCCCGUCCGGCUCCACCAAUGCGCGAUCCGCAGGAUCGUCGUGAAUGCGCGAUCCGCAGGAUCGUCGUGAAUGCGCGAUCCGCAGGAUCGUCGUGAAUGCGCGAUCCGCAGGAUCGUCGCUUCAGCCACCGCGUUGCGUGUUGGCGAUAGCGCGAUCCGCAGGAUCGUCGCGGCGCGAUCGCAAGAUUGCUGCCUUGGUGUUGAGUAGAGGUGAGAAAAGUCAUUCGUAAAAAGAGUUUGCGCCGAGCUUCGUGCUUGGCGCCUGUUCUGUUUGACAUCGUAAAGAGAAGAUUUGUUCGAACUUCAUGACCCGCAAGGGCCGUGAUUUGUCGCAAGGGACGCUCAAUCCCUUGCAUAUGAUGGGUUUGCCUAACCGCACCCUCGAACCGAUCUCGAGAAGCUGGUCUUUUUGCGCCAAUGACAUCGAGCAAGAUCCCGCACAGGAUCUGGUUCGAGGCGACAAUCCCUUCGGGAUUGCGCUUAUGCGACGAUCUCUUCGAGAUCGCGCCUAUGCGACGAUCCUUCGGAUCGCGCUUAGCUAACCUCGCAAGGGUUUGGCUGAAGCGACGAUCCCUUCGGGAUCGCGCGGAUGGGUAUUGGCAAUGAGAACGAUCAAGUGUCUUAAGGGCAAUUGGUGGAUGCCUUGGCAUGCACAGGCGAUGAAGGACG